rnacentral:rRNA from 1 species
CGCCUCUUGCUAAAACAAAAAUAUAAGAGGUCCCGCCUGCCCUGUGACUAUAUGUUUAACGGCCGCGGUAUUUUGACCGUGCGAAGGUAGCGCAAUCACUUGUCUCUUAAAUGGGGACCUGUAUGAAUGGCAUAACGAGGGCUUGACUGUCUCCUCUUUCAAGUCAAUGAAAUUGAUCUUCCCGUGCAGAAGCGGGAAUAAGCACAUAAGACGAGAAGACCCUAUGGAGCUUUAGACACGAAAGCAGAUCAGCAUUAAUACCCCCAACACGGGGCACGAAUAAACUGAACCCUGCUCUAAUGUCUUAGGUUGGGGCGACCGCGGAGAAAUAAAAAACCCCCGCAAGGACCGAAUGUACUACAUUCACAACCAAGAGUGACAGCUCUAAUUAACAGAUACUUCUGACCAAUAAGAUCCGGCAACGCCGAUCAAUGGACCAAGUUACCCUAGGGAUAACAGCGCAAUCUCCUCUUAGAGCCCGUAUCAACGAGGAGGUUUACGACCUCGAUGUUGGAUCAGGACAUCCUAAUGGUGCAGCCGCUAUUAAGGGUUCGUUUGUUCAACGAUUAAAGUCCU